GUGAACGCUGGCGGUAGGCCUAACCCAUGCAAGUCGAACGGCAGCACAGUAAGAGCUUGCUCUUACGGGUGGCGAGUGGCGGACGGGUGAGGAAUACAUCGGAAUCUACUUUUUCGUGGGGGAUAACGUAGGGAAACUUACGCUAAUACCGCAUACGACCUACGGGUGAAAGCAGGGGAUCUUCGGACCUUGCGCGAUUGAAUGAGCCGAUGUCGGAUUAGCUAGUUGGCGGGGUAAAGGCCCACCAAGGCGACGAUCCGUAGCUGGUCUGAGAGGAUGAUCAGCCACACUGGAACUGAGACACGGCCCAGACUCCUACGGGAGGCAGCAGUGGGGAAUAUUGGACAAUGGGCGCAAGCCUGAUCCAGCCAUACCGCGUGGGUGAAGAAGGCCUUCGGGUUGUAAAGCCCUUUUGUUGGGAAAGAAAAGCAGCAGGUUAAUACCCCGCUGUUCUGACGGUACCCAAAGAAUAAGCACCGGCUAACUUCGUG
rnacentral:rRNA from 1 species